ensembl:snoRNA
GCCCAGUGAUGAGAUAAUGGCAAGUAUGAGCCAAUCAGGCUGAGUGUGUGUGCUCCUUCCUCCUGAUUGGUGGGUAAUCUUGGCAGAGUGGCGAAGAUUGGCUGCUCUGCUGUAAGGGCCCACCUACAGUAAACUAGCAGUCAUCCUCACCCUCUGCCCAUCCCAGAGACAUGGAAGAAGGCAGGGCGGAGGCUGCUGAAAGUCUUUGUCUGAGUGUGAGAGUAUAUGUUUCAGUUGGCAAGGAGACACAACUCUUCGUUGAUGGCCUUUGCUAUGGCUAUGACAUUUUUCUUUGGUAAUCUGAGGGCA